UGUUGCUCAGUAUCAAAGGAUAAAGAAAGGCAGGGAGGCAUUGUCACUUUCAUUUGCUGUGAUUUUGGGUGAUUUUAAUAUGAAGACCCUGUGGCUUGUCAUCGUCGUGGCAUUAAGCGUAUCUUUAGAGAAAUCAUCUGUAGAAGGU